GGAAGUAUUUCAAAAAAGCUGCGUACCCUUGAUUAAGGUUAGUCUUCUCCUUCCACCAAACAUAGGCUCCUAACAUCGCGCUUAAUGACACCGGAGCUUUUGUGAAGGUAAACCGUUCUGAAGGGCCAUCUGUCACUGUACCCAAUGACCACCUUCCUGGAUAGACCUUGUAGUCGGGUUGUUUGUGAAUGCAGCCCAAAGCGGGUGGUAAACUCAAUCCAAGGCUAAAUACUUGCACCAGUCCGAUAGCAAACAAGUACCGGGACGGAAAGUUAAAAACCACUUUGAAGAGAGAGUAAACAGUGAUGAGUACGGGAAUGCUGACAUGGCCCAAAAGGGGGUGAAAGGCCCGUUGGGCUGGAUAGGCAGAAAUGACGAUACACUUGCGUAACCAUUCCUUUGAAGUUUUACUGGUUCGGUUGCUAACUUUGAUGCUCAUUGCUCAAGAAGUCGAAGCGGUCGCUACAGAUGUCAUUAGGUUUAAUUCGGAUCGGAAAACGAUUAAUCGCGUUCCGGCCACUUCAAACUCUAAAACGG
rfam:Opisthorchis viverrini opera_v5_24.110, whole genome shotgun sequence.